rnacentral:tRNA from 1 species
GGGUAUGGUGUAACGGUAGCACGAAGGUCUCCAAAACCUUUUGCGAGGGUUCAAAUCCUUCUACCC